GGAAUAUUGCACAAUGGGGGAAACCCUGAUGCAGCGACGCCGCGUGGAGGAAGAAGGUCUUCGGAUUGUAAACUCCUGUCCCAGGGGACGAUAAUGACGGUACCCUGGGAGGAAGCACCGGCUAACUACGUGCCAGCAGCCGCGGUAAAACGUAGGGUGCAAGCGUUGUCCGGAAUUACUGGGUGUAAAGGGAGCGCAGGCGGAUUGGCAAGUUGGGAGUGAAAUCUAUGGGCUCAACCCAUAAAUUGCUUUCAAAACUGUCAGUCUUGAGUGGUGUAGAGGUAGGCGGAAUUCCCGGUGUAGCGGUGGAAUGCGUAGAUAUCGGGAGGAACACCAGUGGCGAAGGCGGCCUACUGGGCACUAACUGACGCUGAGGCUCGAAAGCAUGGGUAGCAAACAGGA
rnacentral:misc_RNA from 1 species